rnacentral:rRNA from 1 species
GACGAACGCUGGCGGCGUGCUUAACACAUGCAAGUCGAACGGAAAGGCCCUGCUUUUGUGGGGUGCUCGAGUGGCGAAUGGGUGAGUAACACGUGAGUAACCUGCCCUUGACUUUGGGAUAACUUCAGGAAACUGGGGCUAAUACCGGAUAGGAGCUCCUGCUGCAUGGUGGGGGUUGGAAAGUUUCGGCGGUUGGGGAUGGACUCGCGGCUUAUCAGCUUGUUGGUGGGGUAGUGGCUUACCAAGGCUUUGACGGGUAGCCGGCCUGAGAGGGUGACCGGCCACAUUGGGACUGAGAUACGGCCCAGACUCCUACGGGAGGCAGCAGUGGGGAAUAUUGCACAAUGGGCGGAAGCCUGAUGCAGCAACGCCGCGUGCGGGAUGAUGGCCUUCGGGUUGUAAACCGCUUUCGCCUGUGACGAAGCGUGAGUGACGGUAAUGGGUAAAGAAGCACCGGCUAACUACGUG